rnacentral:rRNA from 1 species
GACGAACGCUGGCGGCGCGCUUAACACAUGCAAGUCGAGCGAGAACCAGGGCUUCGGCCCUGGGGACAGCGGCGAACGGGUGAGUAACACGUGGAUAACCUGCCCUCGGCACCGGGAUAGCCCGGGGAAACCCGGAUUAAUACCGGAUGGCCCUUCCGGCUCACGAGCCGGUCGGAAAAGGUAGCUUCGGCCUCCGGCCGAGGAUGGGUCCGCGGCGGAUUAGCUUGUUGGUGGGGUAACGGCCCACCAAGGCUCCGAUCCGUAGCUGGUCUGGGAGGACGAUCAGCCACACUGGGACUGAGACACGGCCCAGACUCCUACGGGAGGCAGCAGUGGGGAAUCUUGCGCAAUGGGCGAAAGCCUGACGCAGCGACGCCGCGUGAGGGAGGAAGGCCUUCGGGUUGUAAACCUCUUUCAGGAGGGACGAAGCUACUCGGGUGAAUAGCCCAGAGGGUGACGGUACCUCCAGAAGAAGCCCCGGCUAACUACGUGCCUGCAGCCGCCGCGG